rnacentral:rRNA from 1 species
GAUGAACGCUGGCGGCGCGCCUAACACAUGCAAGUCGAACGAUUAAAGCACCUUCGGGUGUGCAUAAAGUGGCGAACGGCUGAGUAACACGUGGGCAACCUGCCCCUCGCACCGGGAUAGCCUCGGGAAACCGUGAUUAAUACCGGAUACUCCGCCACCCCCGCAUGGGGGAGGCGGGAAAGCCCAGACGGCGAGGGAUGGGCCCGCGGCCUGUUAGCUUGUUGGUGGGGUAACGGCCUACCAAGGCGAUUAUGGGUAGCUGGGUUGAGAGACCGACCAGCCAGAUUGGGACUGAGACACGGCCCAAACUCC